UUCUGGGAGGAUUGACAGAUUGAGAGCUCUUUCUUGAUUCGGUGGAUGGUAGUGCAUGGCCGUUCUUAGUUGGUGGAGCGAUUUGUCUGGUUGAUUCCGAUAACGAACGAGACUUCCUAUUAAUUAGGUGCGUGGUUCUCUGCACCUUGAACCCUUCUUAAAGGGACAAGCGGCUCCUAGCCGCACGAAACAAAGCAAUAACAGGUCUGUGAUGCCCUUACAU
rnacentral:rRNA from 1 species